rnacentral:rRNA from 1 species
CCUACGAGAGACAGCAGUGAGGAAUAUUGGUCAAUGGACGCAAGUCUGAACCAGCCAUGCCGCGUGCAGGAUGACGGCUCUAUGAGUUGUAGACUGCGUUUGUACGAGGGUAAACCCCGAUACGUGUAUCGGGUUGAAAGUAUCGUAAGAAUAAGGAUCGGCUAACUCCGUGCCAGCAGCCGCGGUAAUACGGAGGAUCCGAGCGUUAUCCGGAUUUAUUGGGUUUAAAGGGUGCGUAGGAGGUUUGAUAAGUUAGAGGUGAAAUGUCGGGGCUCAACCCCGAAACUGCCUCUAAUACUGUUGGACUAGAGAAUAGUUGCGGUAGGCGGAAUGUAUGGUGUAGCGGUGAAAUGCUUAGAGAUCAUACAGAACACCGAUUGCGAAGGCAGCUUACCAAACUAUAUCUGACGUUGAGGCACGAAAGCGUGGGUAGCAAACAGGAUUAGAUACCCCGGUAGUC